AGGUACGAUGGUACUAGUCAUAAUGCAUUGAUCCCAUCAUAACUCUAUAGUUAAGUAUGAUUAGACGAUAAUAGUACUAAGAUGCAGAAAGUCAUCGUGUUGCAUCUC
rnacentral:rRNA from 1 species